AAGAGAGAGUUAAAGAGGACGUGAAACCGAUGAGGUGGAAACGGAUAGAGCUAGCGUAUCUGGCCAGUAUUCAGCCAUUUGGGUUUGCUGGCAACCAUUGGUUGGCACUCCAGAUUGGGACAGCCUUUGGUUUGUUGUGGUGACCAUGUGGUGCAUUUACAGGCGGAGUGCGCAGAGGCAGAUGGAAUGGCGGCAUGAACUCAGCUUUGAGGCCAGCUUGCUGGUACCCAGACUGGGCUAGUGUUGUUCAUUCUGUUUGCAUCCUUUGCAUGGCUUACGGGCUCGAGUGGACGCCGAGCUGGCUGUCAGAAGCGGUCGCAUGCGACACGUGCUGUUCAAUCGGUUCGGUCCCAUUCAAGCUCUCGUGUAGAUCCUCUACGUAAAAGCUGGUCAUCUAUCCGACCCGUCUUGAAACACGGACCAAGGAGUUUAUCGUGUGCGCAAGUCAUUGGGCGUUUAAAACCCAAAGGCGCAAUGAAAGUGAACGUAUCCGCAAGGAACUGACGUGCGAUCCCGGGUAUUUCGGUGCUCGGGUUCAGCAUGGCCCCAUCCUGACUGCAUGCAGUAGGGUGGCGGAAGAGCGUAUGCGGUGAGACCCGAAAGAUGGUGAACUAUUCCUGAGCAGGAUGAAGCCAGAGGAAACUCUGGUAGAAGUCCGAAGCGGUUCUGACGUGCAAAUCGAUCG
rnacentral:rRNA from 1 species